AACGCACGAGACCUGCGGACCUGCGGAGGGAUCAUUACAAGUGACCCCGGUCUAACCACCGGGAUGUUCAUAACCCUUUGUUGUCCGACUCUGUUGCCUCCGGGGCGACCCUGCCUUCGGGCGGGGGCUCCGGGUGGACACUUCAAACUCUUGCGUAACUUUGCAGUCUGAGUAAACUUAAUUAAUAAAUUAAAACUUUCAGCAACGGAUCUCU
rnacentral:misc_RNA from 1 species